rnacentral:tRNA from 1 species
GGGAGUUUAGCUCAGCNAUCUGCCUUACAAGCAGAGGGUCAGCGGUUCGAUCCCGUUAACUCCCA